CCGUGCAGAGCCAGGGCAGGCAGGGAGCCUGCCUUAGCCCCACUCUGCUGCCGACCGGGAGCUGGCUGAGAUUGGCUAACACACUCUGUGCUGCCUCAUGUCACCAUGCAAGAUGGCUGCUGUGUCACACCCCAGAGGUGGCUGCAUUUCUGUGAAAACUAGGAAUCCUGAUGAUCAUAUAAAGGAGUUAAACACCAAAUUUGAGGAAGUGGUACUGAGACAUAAAAACCUUGUGUGUGCCCUGAAGGAGUAGUCCAUGCUGAAUCAUUAUUGCACUGUUGUUGUUUAUGCUUACCUUAUCCUGUAUU